CCGUAUGCUCAAGUUUCACCCAGUGUAGAAGACAGGGGGGGCUGUAUCCUUUCCUCUGCCCCCAGGUCCCCACUUUGGCACCCCAGGCUAUGGAAGCCCCCACUUCACCACACUCUACUCAGUCCCUUUUCCUGAGGGCGAGGCCUUUCCCUCUGUUCCCGUCACUGCUCUGGGCUCUCCCAUGCAUUCAAACUGAGGCACCAGCCCUCCCUGGGGAUGCUGUGAGCCAAGGCAAGGGAGGUAGACAAGAGAACCUGGAGCUUUGGGGUUAAAUUCUUUUACUGAGGAGGGAUUAAAAGCACAACAGGGGUGGGGGGUGGGAUGGGGAAAGAAGCUCAGUGAUGCUGUUGAUCAGGAGCCUGGCCUGUCUGUCACUCAUCAUUUUGUUCUUAAA